GCUCAGGAUGAACGCUGGCGGCGUGCCUAACACAUGCAAGUCGAACGGGUGUACGGGAUGGAAGGCUCCGGCCGGAAGCCCCGUGCAUGAGUGGCGGACGGGUGAGUAACGCGUGGGCAACCUGCCCUGUACAGGGGGACAACACUUAGAAAUAGGUGCUAAUACCGCAUAACGGGGGGAGCCGCAUGGCACCCCCCUGAAAACUCCGGUGGUACAGGAUGGGCCCGCGUCUGAUUAGCUUGUUGGCAGGGUAACGGCCCACCAAGGCGACGAUCAGUAGCCGGACUGAGAGGUUGGCCGGCCACAUUGGGACUGAGACACGGCCCAGACUCCUACGGGAGGCAGCAGUGGGGAAUAUUGGGCAAUGGGCGCAAGCCUGACCCAGCAACGCCGCGUGAAGGAAGAAGGCUUUCGGGUUGUAAACUUCUUUUGUCAGGGACGAAGCAAGUGACGGUACCUGACGAAUAAGCCACGGCUAACUACGUGCCAGCAGCCGCGGUAAUACGUAGGUGGCAAGCGUUAUCCGGAUUUAUUGGGUGUAAAGGGCCUGUAGGCGGGAAUGCAAGUCAGAUGUGAAAACUAUGGGCUCAACCCAUAGCCUGCAUUUGAAACUGUAUUUCUUGAGUGCUGGAGAGGCAAUCGGAAUUCCGUGUGUAGCGGUGAAAUGCGUAGAUAUACGGAGGAACACCAGUGGCGAAGGCGGAUUGCUGGACAGUAACUGACGCUGAGGCGCGAAAGCGUGGGGAGCAAACAAGAUUAGAUACCCUGGUAGUCCACGCCGUAAACGAUGGAUACUAGGUGUGGGGGGACUGACCCCCUCCGUGCCGCAGCUAACGCAAUAAGUAUCCCACCUGGGGAGUACGAUCGCAAGGUUGAAACUCAAAGGAAUUGACGGGGGCCCGCACAAGCGGUGGAGUAUGUGGUUUAAUUCGACGCAACGCGAAGAACCUUACCAGGGCUUGACAUCCUACUAACGAACCAGAGAUGGAUUAGGUGCCCUUCGGGGAAAGUAGAGACAGGUGGUGCAUGGUUGUCGUCAGCUCGUGUCGUGAGAUGUUGGGUUAAGUCCCGCAACGAGCGCAACCCCUAUUGUUAGUUGCUACGCAAGAGCACUCUAGCGAGACUGCCGUUGACAAAACGGAGGAAGGUGGGGACGACGUCAAAUCAUCAUGCCCCUUACGUCCUGGGCCACACACGUACUACAAUGGCGGCCAACAAAGAGAGGCAAAGCCGCGAGGUGGAGCAAAUCUCAAAAAGCCGUCCCAGUUCGGAUCGCAGGCUGCAACCCGCCUGCGUGAAGUUGGAAUCGCUAGUAGUCGCGGAUCAGCAUGCCGCGG
rnacentral:rRNA from 1 species